rnacentral:misc_RNA from 1 species
CGCGCUUGAUAAGCGUGAGGUCGGAAGUUCAAGUCUUCCCAGGCCCACCACUUUCAUCGAGUGAGCAUUCGUCUUCUGGUUACGGGGCCAUAGCUCAGCUGGGAGAGCGCGUGCUUUGCAAGCAUGAGGUCGUCGGUUCGAUCCCGUCUGGCUCCACCAGAUGGUUUGAUUACCGAGGUCAUGCACCGUCGUCCGCGAAACAUCACUUCGCACUUGCUAGUCCGGAUGGACAGUAAGCUGCGUGAUUUCUGACAUCGUAAAGAGGAGAUCGAUCCGAGUUGGAUCGUGCAGAAGAUUUCUGCGCGAUACUUCAUUAUCUCCGGAUCAUUUCGGCGCUUGCUUCGCCCUUCAAGGUCAAACUUGAAAGACGAUGCAAGUUGUAAAUGAUCCUUUUAGCGAAGCUUGACCGCCUCGCUAUCGGAACGAUCUUACGAAGCAAGCUGGUCUUUCUAGUCAAUGUCCGGCUGCAGAUAGCGUUCAUCGAGGGCGCGUGCCGCAAGGUAAUUCUGCAGACAACAUUCUGCCGAGUGUGUGGACAUUGAUAAUGAGAGCAAUCAAGUGCCUUAAGGGUGUUCGGUGGAUGCCUUGGCGCUGAGAGGCGAUGAAGGACGUGCUACGCUGCGAUAAGCCGUGGGGAGCUGCGAAGAAGCUUUGAUCCA